rnacentral:rRNA from 1 species
UUCGCAAUGCCCGAAAGGGUGAACGAGCGACGCCGCGUGCGGGAUGAAGGCCUUCGGGUUGUAAACCGCUUUUGCAAGGGAAAAACUUAAUGAUGGUACCUUGCGAAUAAGAGGUUACUAACUCUGUGCCAGCAGUAGCGGUAAUACAGAGACCUCAAGCGUUAUCCGGAUUCAUUGGGCGUAAAGCGCGGGUAGGCGGCUAUAUUAGUCAGAUGUCAAAUCCUCGAGCUCAACUCGAGAACUGCAUUUGAAACGGUAUAUCUAGAGAGUGGGAGAGACCAGUGGAACUCAUGGUGUAGCAGUGAAAUGCGUUGAUAUCAGGAGGAACGCCGGUGGAGAAGUCGACUCUCUGGCCAUCUACUGACGCUGAGAUGCGAAAGCUAGGGGAGCAAACGGGAUUAGAUACCCCGGUAGUCCUAGCCGUAAACGAUGGGCACUAAGUAGAGGGGUUUU